rnacentral:rRNA from 1 species
GAUGAACGCUGACAGAAUGCUUAACACAUGCAAGUCCACUUGAAUUUGGGUUUUUAACUUAGGUUUGGGUGGCGGACGGGUGAGUAACGCGUAAAGAACUUGCCUCACAGCUAGGGACAACAUUUGGAAACGAAUGCUAAUACCUAAUAUUAUGAUAAUAGGGCAUCCUAUAAUUAUGAAAGCUAUAAGCGCUGUGAGAGAGCUUUGCGUCCCAUUAGCUAGUUGGAGAGGUAACGGCUCACCAAGGCGAUGAUGGGUAGCCGGCCUGAGAGGGUGAUCGGCCACAAGGGGACUGAGACACGGCCCUUCCUCCUACGGGAGGCAGCAGGGGGGAAUAUUGGAAAAGGGACCGGGAGUCUGAUCCAGCAAUUCUGUGUGCACGAUGAAGUUUUUCGGAAUGAAAAGUGCUUUCAGUUGGGAAGAAACAAAUGACGGUACCAAAAGAAGAAGUGACGGCUAAAUACGU